CCUACGGGGGGCAGCAGUGGGGAAUAUUGGACAAUGGGCGAAAGCCUGAUCCAGCCAUGCCGCGUGUGUGAAGAAGGCCUUCGGGUUGUAAAGCACUUUCAGUGGGGAAGAAAGCCUUGGGGCUAAUACCCUCGAGGAAGGACAUCACCCACAGAAGAAGCACCGGCUAACUCCGUGCCAGCAGCCGCGGUAAUACGGAGGGUGCGAGCGUUAAUCGGAAUUACUGGGCGUAAAGCGCGCGUAGGCGGUCUGAUAAGCCGGUUGUGAAAGCCCCGGGCUCAACCUGGGAACGGCAUCCGGAACUGUCAGGCUAGAGUGCAGGAGAGGAAGGUAGAAUUCCCGGUGUAGCGGUGAAAUGCGUAGAGAUCGGGAGGAAUACCAGUGGUGAAGGCGGCCUUCUGGACUGACACUGACGCUGAGGUGCGAAAGCGUGGGUAGCAAACAGGAUUAGAACCCGGGUAGUC
rnacentral:rRNA from 1 species